UGGGGAAUAUUGCACAAUGGAGGGAACUCUGAUGCAGCGACGCCGCGUGAACGAAGAAGGCUUUCGAGUCGUAAAGUUCUUUUAUAUGGGAAGAUAAUGACGGUACCAUAAGAAAAAGCCCCGGCUAACUACGUGCCAGCAGCCGCGGUAAUACGUAGGGGGCUAGCGUUGUCCGGAAUCACUGGGCGUAAAGGGUUCGCAGGCGGAAAUGCAAGUCAUGUGUAAAAGGCAGUAGCUUAACUACUGUAAGCAUUUGAAACUGCAUAUCUUGAGAAGAGUAGAGGUAAGUGGAAUUUUUAGUGUAGCGGUGAAAUGCGUAGGUAUUAAAAAGAAUACCGGUGGCGAAGGCGACUUACUGGGCUCAUUCUGACGCUGAGGAACGAAAGCGUGGGUAGCAAACAGG
rnacentral:rRNA from 1 species